rnacentral:rRNA from 1 species
UGGGGAAUUUUGGACAAUGGGCGAAAGCCUGAUCCAGCAAUGCCGCGUGUGUGAAGAAGGCCUUCGGGUUGUAAAGCACUUUUGUCCGGAAAGAAAUCCUUGGCUCUAAUACAGUCGGGGGAUGACGGUACCGGAAGAAUAAGCACCGGCUAACUACGUGCCAGCAGCCGCGGUAAUACGUAGGGUGCAAGCGUUAAUCGGAAUUACUGGGCGUAAAGCGUGCGCAGGCGGUUUGCUAAGACCGAUGUGAAAUCCCCGGGCUCAACCUGGGAACUGCAUUGGUGACUGGCAGGCUAGAGUAUGGCAGAGGGGGGUAGAAUUCCACGUGUAGCAGUGAAGUGCGUAGAGAUGUGGAGGAAUACCGAUGGCGAAGGCAGCCCCCUGGGCCAAUACUGACGCUCAUGCACGAAAGCGUGGGGAGCAAACAGGAUUAGAUACCCUGGUAGUCCACGCCCUAAACGAUGUCAACUAGUUGUUGGGGAUUCAUUUCCUAGUAACGUAGCUAACGCGUGAAGUUGACCGCCUGGGGAGUACGUCGCAAGAUUAAAACUCAAGGAAUUGACGGGGUCAUAGCUGUUUCCU